CUAACUGAUGUACAGUAAGAGUCCUGUCUUCUGUUUCUUGUGUGCUCUCUCUCAUUGCUCCUCAGAGAUCCCCCCUCAACUCUCACCCCUCAGAGCAUCAAUGACAGGUGCAUCACUCAAUUAUUCAGGCAGAUGGAAGGCACACAGUGGAACGCUGCACAGCUUGUAAGUUGUUCCACUGCCCCCUUUGCUCUGAAUAUAAGUCCAGCCUGCCUGCCAGGCUCCAGCAGCACCUGGAUGUACACAUCAGAUACGCCAUCACAUUCAAAGACAAACAAAUCUGAAAAUGUAAUUUGAACUGCUGGAGUGGAGGACACUUUCAUUGCUCUAUGUUUGAAAGAAGCAUUAUUAGAAGGACAGACAUGGAGGGACACCUGAAGGCUUGCCACGGUGCCACAACAUCCUCAGCUGCUGCUCAGUGUGAGCCAGACCCUCGUCCAUCAGACACAUCAGCUACACCCUCUCCCUGCUU